AUUUAUUUAUUUAUCUUAAAUAGUCUUAUGCUCAGCCCCCUUCUGUCAUCCCAUUCUGACGGGAGUUCAUAAAGAGCAGCAGAUCUACGGCAUGAUCUACUUCACUUUUCUCACACUCAUGGAUUUCUCUGCACAGGAAUGAAAUCAGAGUAUCCAGAACCAUGGGUGCCAAGGUUUCAGUCGACAAUCGGACUCCUUAUAACUGGUACUUUGCCACUCAGGACAAAGGGUAUGCACACAUCGGUCCUCGCUGCACAACAUCCUAUGAGGAGGCCCGGUUAAUCCAUCGCUACAUUCACAUCAGAUAUGAAAAUCACUCGUGGAAUAGUUUUUCGUACGAGUUUAACACCCAUAAAGGCAACACGUCUUUUAUCUUAAAGGAAACCCAUGACCGCUCCCAGAUUCAGCUGCAUUGCACCUCUGAAGGCGGCACUCGUUACUGUCCCAACUA